UUUCCGUAGGUGAACCUGCGGAAGGAUCAUUAAUGAGUUGUCAUGGGGUUCGAUGCUGGCAGCCAGUUUUUGGAUGCAUGUGCUUGCCCUAACAAUCAUCUUCUUCCAAACACCUGUGCACAUUUUUGAGGGAGUCUUGAGUUGGUUGCCGCUCUUGGGUAAUUUUCUCACAUUCCCUUAAAUCAUUAUACGCUAUUAACAAUGUUGAACGUGCUCUGUGCCGCAAGGCCAUUAAUAUAAUACAACUUUUAACAACGGAUCUCUUGGCUCUC
rnacentral:misc_RNA from 1 species